GACUCGUCUUCCACCAUCGGAUCCCUCCGCCUCGACCUCUCCGCGUCCCCGCUCGCGGACCCGGAGGCUGCAGCCUUCGCCUCCCCGCGCGGCGGCGGGCGCGUCACGGCGGGGUUCGUGAUCUGCUUCCCCAACUACUCCUCCUUCCUCUCCAAGCCCGGGCUGUACGUGGAGGACAUCUUCGUGCGCGCCCCCUGGCGCCGCCGCGGCCUCGGCCGGAUGAUGCUGUCUUCCGUCGCCGGCAGGGCGGCGGAGCUCGGGAUGGGGCGGGUGGAGUGGUGCGUGCUCGACUGGAACAAGAACGCCAUCGACUUCUACGAGGGGAUGGGCGCCGAUGUCCUCCCGCAGUGGCGCAUCUGCAGGCUCACCGGCGCGGCGCUGGACAAGUACAAGGGCAACCAAGAGGCGGCCGCCGAUGGGAAGGCUGUCGAGUAGGAGGAUCAGAAAAAUUGGUUCUUGAGUGCCAAUAAUAAAGGUGGUGGAUUUGCUUCCCCUGCUUAGCUCCCUCCUGGCAUCGUAUGGUUAGUGGUUCGGUGCAUUUGAUCUGCUCAUUAGUGUGAUGAAUCCAUGUUGUAUGCUGAGCAAUUCUGACUUGUUGUGGUAAACCUUGGUACAUUAUGCAAAAUUAUCUUCAGAUUAGAUGCAAGUCUUUAUCAUUAGCCAUUUCAGGCUGAGCAUGUCUCUUCACUGCGAUCAGAGUCUCAGAGCUGGUUGAAAUACUUGAAAUUAAUUUAUCCCUGUAUGAUGUUUGACUAGGGGAAAUUCCAUGAUCUAUUUGAAUAACUCAUCAACUGGAUAAAAGAACUUGGAAUGUUCCUGCUCGUAUUGCUCCCUCAUUUCAUAAGGCAAUCCCUACUUGUGUGUUGGCUUGUUCAGCUCUCUUCUCUCACAUAGAGAGGAGCGGGUAUGUGAAACAGACAGUAUUCUUGCAUAUAAUUGUAACGUAAAUGAAUUAUUACAAAGAAAUAUUAAAUGGAACGACUAGAAAGACCAAACAUCUGCUUCAAUGGCAAAAUAGCAGUAUGAAGAUACCGAACUUUGUAGGAAUACAAAAGUUCAGUGCAAACACCUCCUACGAGCAUUGAAUUAGUCAUAACACUGAUUUUCACGCUGAAUUCCAUAGAAUUUGAUCAAAUUCAGUUCAUCCAUAUAAAAGACAAAUCUACACUUCCAAUUAUUAAUGAGAGAAUUUGAUAUUUUUUCUUAUUCUUGGAGUUUAUAACUUUUCAUUUGUUUUAUCGAACUUUUAUAUUGAAGUGAGGUAUUAACACUUCAAGCAUCUUAUACCAACCCCUGUGCAUGCCCUGAACUAGCCAGAGGCAUUGUUCUUCAGGAAACUAAAUUCUACUUCCACUUUUUUUUUAUCAUUCCAGUCAACAUUCUGCUGCAUUAGUUAUUAUUGUAUCUUUGACCUAUGCUAUGAUUUUCCAUAUUAGAAACAAGAUUGAUAUAUUUGCUCGCGUCAACAACAUUUUUAAGGCGGCAUAGUAUUUGAAUUGGUGGAACUCAAACACAACCAGCUUUUAUUUUUUUAAAAACAACAUUUUUAUACUUUGGAAAAUUAGUCUAGUGGCAUACACAGGGGCCCUGCCUUUACCAGUCGCCCCGUCACAAAAGCAGAGGACAGGCCAACCCCCACUUCUUGACCAAGAUGGCGGCGCCGGCCAACUCCACCACCUUCUCCGGCGACAUGUGGGCGGAGCUCCGCCUGGCCGACGCCCGCGAUGUGCCGCACAUCUACAGCCUCAUCCACCAGAUGGCCGAGUUCGAGCUCCUCACCGACCUUUUCACCGCCACCGAGGAGCUCCUCACCUCCACGCUCUUCCCCUCGCCGACGCCACCUCCCUUCACCUCCUUCACGGCUCUCGUCCUCGACCUCUCCCCCUCCCCCGUGGUCCCGGACUCGUCUUCCAUCAUCGGCUCCCUCCGCCUCGAUCUCUCUGCGUUUCCGCUCGCGGACCCGGAGGCCGCCGCCUUCGCCUCCCCGCGCGGCGGCGGGCGCGUCACGGCGGGGUUCGUGAUCUGCUUCCCCAACUACUCCUCUUACCUCUCCAAGCCCGGGCUGUACGUGGAGGACAUCUUCGUGCGCGCCCCCUGGCG
rnacentral:lncRNA from 1 species